rnacentral:rRNA from 1 species
AUUGAACGCUGGCGGCAUGCCUUACACAUGCAAGUCGAACGGUAACGGGCCUUCGGGUGCCGACGAGUGGCGAACGGGUGAGUAAUGUAUCGGAACGUACCUUUCAGUGGGGGAUAACGUAGCGAAAGUUACGCUGAUACCGCAUAUUCUGUGCGCAGGAAAGCAGGGGACCUUCGGGCCUUGCGCUGAUUGAGCGGCCGAUAUCGGAUUAGCUAGUUGGUGAGGUAAAGGCUCACCAAGGCGACGAUCUGUAGCGGGUCUGAGAGGAUGAUCCGCCACACUGGAGCUGAGACACGGUCCAGACUCCUACGGGAGGCAGCAGUGGGGAAUUUUGGACAAUGGGGGCAACCCUGAUUCAGCCAUGCCGCGUGAGUGAAGAAGGCCUUCGGGUUGUAAAGCUCUUUCGGCCGGGAAGAAAUCGUAUCAGCUAAUACCUGGUGCGGAUGACGGUACCGGCAUAAGAAGCACCGGCUAACUACGUGCCAGCCGCCGCCGUAACAC